CGAGUAACACGUGGACAAUCUGCCCCCCGGCCCGGGAUAGCCCAGGGAAACCUGGAUUAAUACCGGAUGAGACGGGACCCGCGAUGGCGGGACCGGGAAAGGCGCUGCGGCGCCGCCGGGGGAUGAGUCUGCCGUCCCAUUAGCUAGACGGCGGGGUAACGGCCCACCGUGGCGACGAUGGGUAGCCGGCCUGAGAGGGUGGACGGCCACAUUGGAACUGAGACACGGUCCAGACUCCUACGGGAGGCAGCAGCUAAGAAUCUUCCGCAAUGGGCGAAAGCCUGACGGAGCGAACCGCCGCGUGAACGAAGAAGGCCGUGAGGUUGUAAAGUUCUUUUCGGGAGGGGGAACAACCGUGGCAGGGAAUGGCCGCGGGAUGACGUGAAUCCCGGAAUAACGCCCCGGCUAACUACGUGCCAGCAGCUGC
rnacentral:rRNA from 1 species